rnacentral:tRNA from 1 species
CGCGGGAUUGAGUAACGGCAGCUCACGUGGCUCAUAACCACGCAGUCCAGGUUCGAGUCCUGGUCCCGCCACCA